AAUGAAAAUCCUAUUACCAUCGCAUUGGAUCAUUGCAACCUAUAGAAGAUGCACAGCAUAAAUUCUUGCAAUAUGGGCAAUAUGGAAGAACAACUUGACAGGCGUCAAGGGAUCAACACAGCUACGAAGAGAGCAAUUCUCCAAGAUCUACAGCAAAUGCUUCAUGAACAUCAUGCAUUGGUCAGGCUUUUCAAGACUGCUCUAGAGCGCAUGCCAAGUGAUUGCAAUUCGGUCAAGUCAAUUAAAUACAUUUGCAAAUAUGUCACGAAAGGGAGCGACAUUGCGGAUUUUGGUAUCCAAACAUCCAAUACCAACGAUGAAAUCACGCGCUAUCAAGUUGGUACUUUUUUGUUUCUAUCUAUAUAAACAUAUUAUUUUGUAUCAUUGUUUUACGUUCAUCAAAGC
rnacentral:lncRNA from 1 species